UAAGACAUAGGUCACCAUCCCCUAUACGACGUAGAUUGCGUUCUCCCUUUCGACGCAGGUCACCUUCACCCUUGCAUGAUAGAUCUCCUUCACCAGUUCGACGUCGCAGAUCCCCCUCACCUGUUCGACGUCGUAGAUCCCCCUCACCUGUUCGACGUCGGAGAUCCCCCUCACCUAUUAGGCGCCGAAGAUCCCCCUCACCUAUUAGGCGUCGUAGAUCCCCUUCCCCUGUGCGCCGUAGAUCCCCUUUCCCUAUGCGCCGCAGAUCCCCAUUGCCUUUAAGGCGUAGAUCACCUUCACCUGUGUCACGUAGAUCACCUUCACCUCUUCGUCGUAGAUCACCCCCUUCC
rnacentral:lncRNA from 1 species